CACUGAGAAGCAAAUGAGCAGCUUGUGUCAGAAUCUAGAAAUACCUGAUACCAUGUAUGUGUAUUGAAGAAAUUAAAACUUUAUUUGGACAGUUAUUUGUUUCAAUCAUGGCCAUGCAAUUGAAAACAGAAUCCGUUGGGAUUCCACCAUAUCUGUCACACUGAACUGCAAUGCUGAAGUAAACUUCAUAAUACGUCUUCUAGGUAAUUGUGAUGUAAUGCACCUGCAAUUCCACGUCCAAUAAAAGAUGGUUAAAAAGUGAAAUUCCUGAAGUUUACAAAUUUGUACCCCAGGAACAAACUUCAUGAUGAAUAAUGGAAGUUUUGGUAACUAUCUGAUGGCUUUACAGCCCUCAGUGAGGAAAUCUAUUAAAGGCUGGUGCUUCAGAUGUAUCUUGCUGUCUCUUAAAAAUAAUGACUGAGUUGUUUUUAAGAAGAAAGUAGUUGUUAUUAUGUUCCUCUUUGAAAAUAUAAAUACCAAGGAGAUGCAUGGGAACAGGCUUGAAUGUCACCUCACAAUGUGCCCUUCGGAAAACUUGCAGUAAAAAAGAGUGAGAAAAAACAUCAGAAAUUAAAAGACAAACAAUAGACUGUUUAUGAGAGAGUGUAUGAAAAUAAUACUGAUAUGUGGUGAUAUUUUCAUUACUCCCGUACGUCUGGUAAUGCAAAUGUCUCAGCAUAAAGAUAAUACAGCAUGGCUCUGAGCAGUUGAAGUGAUCUUGUAAUAAGUGAACUUCAGAAUAUUUUACCAGGAUAUCAGCAUUUGAGAUGAGCGUGUGAUCUGUGCAUGAGUCAGAUAAAGGACAAACAUGGAAAUCUUAGUUACAAAGAAUGCAAUUACAGAAAGAUGGAGGGAAUAUUCUAAUGAGCUCUUUAAUGUUGAAAUGGAUAAAGGCGAACAAACAGCAAAUUUCCAGUCAGCUGAGCUUUUUGUGGAAGAAUCAAGAGGCAAUCAGAACACCCAGGAACAAUAUGGCACCAGCAAUAUAAAAGAAAUUUCAAGCAUACCAAAAGAACGUGCCCAAUGUUAUUCCAGUCAAACAGGAAAGAAAGAAAUCUCAAGUGCUGGAGUUAAGAGACCUUACUGAAAACUAAGCAAAGACAAGUGCAAUUUGUCAUCAUCCAUAACACACAGCUAUUGCCUUUCUCAUUCACACUUUGUCUGGGAUCAAGUGGUGAACAUGGGAGGCCAUUGGAGCUGUCAGACCUUGAUGCUGGAUCUGCUGUGUAUAAAUUGUCAGCGUUUCCAUGGUGCGGUAACAAAAAAGCUCAGUGCAGCUGUUCAUUGGAGUGUGCUUGAAUGCUUUAUCCUCAAUCCUUUGAUUGAGGUGACAUCUAUUUCUGAAAAUGGAUGAAGAUGGAGAAGAUACCUGUACUUUCAGGCAUACACUUGUACCCAGUGAUUUGUAGGGGGUGUGGAACUAGGUGAUCUUUAAAGUCCUUUUCAA